CUUUAACAUUCUAGACCAACAACGAGCCACGACCACCAGAGAAAAUAGAAAUGGAGUCAGAGACCUGUAUACACACAUGCACCACAGUGAUUGUCCCUUGUUGUUCGUACCAGGAAGACAACAUGAGACGCCUAGAGGGCAAACUGGAUACCUUGUGUGACUUUGUUCAAAGCUGCAACCAGGUGCCAUUGAUGUGGUGUCAGC
rnacentral:lncRNA from 1 species